rnacentral:rRNA from 1 species
AACGCACCUUGCGCCCUUUGGUACUCCGAAGGGUACGCCCGUUUGAGUGUCAUUGUAAUCUCACCUCUUCGACUUUUGUUGUCGACCAGUGUGGACUUGGAUGUUGCCGUGUAACAAACGGCUCGUCUGAAAUGCCUGAGUGUACCCUGCUUUGCGGCGUAUUCGGUGUGAUAAAUCUUCACCGGAGUCUUGACUCUUUGGGUCGGCGCUCGUAUGGUUUUGGCUCUAUGCUUUCCAACUGUCCCUGACAAGGACAAUACUCUGACAAUUUGACCUCAAAUCGGGUGGGACUACCCGCUGAACUUAA